rnacentral:rRNA from 1 species
GCGAACGCUGGCGGCAGGCCUAACACAUGCCAGUCGAACGGAUCCUUCGGGAUUAGUGGCGGACGGGUGAGUAACACGUGGGAACGUGCCCUUUGGUUCGGAACAACUCAGGGAAACUUGAGCUAAUACCGGAUGUGCCCUUCGGGGGAAAGAUUUAUCGCCAUUGGAGCGGCCCGCGUCUGAUUAGCUAGUUGGUGAGGUAACGGCCCACCAAGGCGACGAUCAGUAGCUGGUCUGAGAGGAUGAUCAGCCACACUGGGACUGAGACACGGCCCAGACUCCUACGGGAGGCAGCAGUGGGGAAUCUUGCGCAAUGGGCGAAAGCCUGACGCAGCCAUGCCGCGUGAAUGAUGAAGGUCUUAGGAUUGUAAAAUUCUUUCAGCGGGGACGAUAAUGACGGUACCCGCAGAAGAAGCUCCGGCUAACUUCGUG